UGAGGAAUAUUGGUCAAUGGACGCAAGUCUGAACCAGCCAAGUAGCUUGCAGGAUGACGGCCCUAUGGGUUGUAAACUGCUUUUAUAUGGGGAUAAAGUGGGGAACGUGUUCCCUUUUGCAGGUACCAUAUGAAUAAGGACCGGCUAAUUCCGUGCCAGCAGCCGCGGUAAUACGGAAGGUUCGGGCGUUAUCCGGAUUUAUUGGGUUUAAAGGGAGCGUAGGCCGUUUGGUAAGCGUGUUGUGAAAUGUAGGAGCUCAACUUCUAGAUUGCAGCGCGAACUGUCAGACUUGAGUGCGCACAACGUAGGCGGAAUUCAUGGUGUAGCGGUGAAAUGCUUAGAUAUCAUGAAGAACUCCGAUUGCGAAGGCAGCUUACGGGAGCGCAACUGACGCUGAAGCUCGAAGGUGCGAGUAUCGAACAGG
rnacentral:rRNA from 1 species